rnacentral:rRNA from 1 species
UACAGAGGGUGCGAGCGUUAAUCGGAAUUACUGGGCGUAAAGCGUGCGUAGACGGCUAUCUAAGUCGGGUGUGAAAGCCCCGGGCUCAACCUGGGAAUUGCAUUCGAGACUGAAUAGCUAGGGUGCGGUAGAGGGAAGCGGAAUUUCCGGUGGUAGCGGUGAAAUGCGUAGAUAAUCGGAAAGGAACAUCAGUGGCGAAAGGCGGG